rnacentral:rRNA from 1 species
AUAUCAGUCAUGCAUAGCAUAUCAAUAAGCGGAGGAAAAGAAACUAACAAGGAUUCCCUUAGUAACGGCGAGUGAAGCGGGAAGAGCUCAAAUUUGAAAUCUUCAAGGUUUUACCUUGACGAAUUGUAGUUUAAAGAAGUGUUUUCUGUUGAAGUUUUGGUAAAAGUUCUUUGGAAUAGGACAUCAUAGAGGGUGAGAAUCCCGUAUUUGACCAUUACUUUACAGCUUUGUGAUACACUUUCAAAGAGUCGGAUUGUUUGGGAAUGCAGUCCAAAAUGGGUGGUAAAUUUCAUCUAAAGCUAAAUAUUGGCGAGGAGACCGAUAGCGAACAAGUACCGUGAGGGAAAGAUGAAAAGAACUUUGAAAAGAGAGUUAAACAGUACGUGGAAAUUGUCAAAAGGGAAGCGUUUGACACCAGUGUUGUUUUCUCGAAAAUCAAUUAAAAAGAGUUGGAUUUUGUGUUGUAUUGACUUUAUCGGCUUUCUUCACUCUUUUCCAGCUUUUUUUAAUGCACUUUUCGUUUAACAAGUCAACAUCAGUUUCUUUUGUUGUAAAAAAGGUCAUGGAAGGUGGCUUUCUCUUCGGAGAAAGUGUUUAUAGCCUUUGACUCAUGCAAUCGGAGAGAGACUGAGGUCUGCAGCGUAGAUCCUUCGGGGUUAGAUACAUUUGUGCUAAGUUAUAGCUUUUCAUAGACAACUUGUUGACUAUGUUUAGUCUUGUAGCUUACUCGCUUAUGCUAUUUUACCUACGCUUAGGAUGUUGAACUCUAUCACACACAG